UCACCAGCCAACUAAUCUGCUUACCUGAAUGUGUUUCUGCAAAAAUUUAGAAAAUGCUGGUAAUAAUGUUGUCACGUAUGAGCCUAAAAGACAAGUGACUGUUUUUAAGAUCCCUGAAAAUGGCUACAAUA